rnacentral:rRNA from 1 species
AUGGAUAGGCAAGGCAUUUCACCUUCGGUCUACAACAACAACGAGUUCGAUGCCAUGAACAACAACUCCGACGCCAAGAUGGAAAAGCGCAUGGAGGAGAUCAAGGCCCUCAUCAAGAACCGCAAGCGGUCUUCCUCAUCUUCGAGAAGACGCUCAAGUGCAAAGAUUUCCGUGCUACCAUCUCCGGCAAGUACACACAAGCAUCGGCAUCGACAUGACCAUGAAGAGAGAGCUUCUGGACGAGAGUUGGCUUCUCUGCCAACCCCGUGCACACGGGCCUUCGACCCCCGUGCACACGGGACCCCGUGCACACGGCCUCCUGUACCCUCGUGCACACGGGCUAUAUAG